GACGUAGGAGGCGAGCGUUGUCCGGAUUCAUUGGGCGUAAAGAGCACGCAGGCGGUUUGGCAAGUCGGAUGUGAAAACCCGAAGCUCAACUUCGGGCCUGCAUCCGAAACUGCCCGACUAGAGGUAGGUAGGGGAGAUCGGAAUUCCGUGGGUGUAGCGGUGAAAUGCGCAGAUAAUCAGGAGGAACACCAAUAGCGAAGGCAGCUCGCUGG
rnacentral:rRNA from 1 species